CUACGGAGGGUGCAAGCGUUGUCCGGAUUUAUUGGGUUUAAAGGGUGCGUAGGUGGUUUUUUAAGUCAGUGGUGAAAGCCUACAGCUUAACUGUAGAGGUGCCAUUGAAACUGGGAAACUUGAGUAUGGACGAGGUAGGCGGAAUUUGUGGUGUAGCGGUGAAAUGCAUAGAUACCACAAAGAACACCGAUAGCGAAGGCAGCUUACUAGGCCAUAUCUGACACUGAGGCACGAAAGUGUGGGGAGCGAACAGGAUUAGAAACCCCAGUAGUCC
rnacentral:rRNA from 1 species